GCCUCGUUGGCGCAGUUAGGCAGCGCGUCAGUCUCAUAAUCUGAAGGUUGUGAGUUCGAGCCUCACAUGGGGCA